rnacentral:rRNA from 1 species
UACGUAGGGCGCAAGCGUUGUCCGGAAUUAUUGGGCGUAAAGAGCUCGUAGGCGGUUUGUCGCGUCUGCUGUGAAAACUCGAGGCUCAACCUCGAGACGUCGGCGGAAACCAUCUGGCUAGAGUCCGGAAGAGGAGAGUGGAAUUCCUGGUGUAGCGGUGAAAUGCGCAGAUAUCAGGAAGAACACCCGUGGCGAAGGCGGCUCUCUAGGACGGUACUGACGCUGAGACGCGAAAGCGUGGGGAGCGAACAGG